GGAAGUCGGCGGCCUCUCGCCCCCACCCUUCUGCAAGCUUUGCCCUCCACCCCUUGCCCUAUGGCCCCUGAGACCCCUCAGGCCUGGCCUCUCCGGGUGGGGUCUCCCCGCUUUCACUUGGCAUCCCACCCCAGCCGAGGCCCUAAGCUAGGCGCUGGGCGUUUGUCCUCUUCCUGCUAUCUCACUCCCGCCGCGCAAUCUCCGCGGGCGGGCUGAGAACCGCCUUCCGCUCAGCGCGGGGAUCUGGAGGUUCCUCAAAAUUCUGCAUCCAGAACAACUUCAAAACUGCCAGCGGAGGUGGAGCCUCACACACUGUUCAGCCAACUCUUUCCACUCUAUGUCACACAGCGACUAAACAAGAAGUAAUACCACCAGGCCUCCCAGGACUUUACCAUUAUCCCAGUUUCUCAAGGACCACUAAAAGAUGCCGUUUCUCCAAAAAAAGAAAUCUUACUCUGUGACCAGGCUGGCCUGGAGUUCACUCUGCAGCACAGGUUGGUCUUCUUCUGAUGGAGCCUUCCAAGUACUGAGAUUUCAGGUCUGGAGCUACCACUCAGCUUUAACUCAUUUGAGUUUCCAGAGGAAAAGCUAAGGCCAGGGGAAGAUUUCAAGGCCAAGGAGACUGACUGACUUGUGUAGAAGUCACACAUCAGAGUGAAGCUAUGGAUGUAGGAGUCUGAAGCAGUCCACUUGCUCCUUGCCUUCCCAGACCAUGCCUCUGCACAGCCUCCUGGGGGAUUACAGCACAGCCUCUAGGUGGCUACUCUUCUACUCUUCCUCACCUCCUCUUACAACUCCCUCUCAAGACAUUACCUACCGAGUUACUAAUUAGCUCUUCAUAUACAUGGUUAUUAUGAGUAGAUGCUCAGUAGAUGUUGAGUGGAUGAAUGAAGAUUCACAGUAAGAUUCAAGA